rfam:Candidatus Chloracidobacterium thermophilum B chromosome 1, complete sequence.
CCGUGGGUUGAAACCCACGGCUAAAUUCAUCCGUCGCUACGCGACG